rnacentral:rRNA from 1 species
AGAGUUUGAUCCUGGCUCAGGAUGAACGCUAGCUACAGGCUUAACACAUGCAAGUCGAGGGGCAGCAUGAACUUAGCUUGCUAAGUUUGAUGGCGACCGGCGCACGGGUGAGUAACACGUAUCCAACCUGCCGAUGACUCGGGGAUAGCCUUUCGAAAGAAAGAUUAAUACCCGAUGGCAUAGUUCUUCCGCAUGGUAGAACUAUUAAAGAAUUUCGGUCAUCGAUGGGGAUGCGUUCCAUUAGGUUGUUGGCGGGGUAACGGCCCACCAAGCCUUCGAUGGAUAGGGGUUCUGAGAGGAAGGUCCCCCACAUUGGAACUGAGACACGGUCCAAACUCCUACGGGAGGCAGCAGUGAGGAAUAUUGGUCAAUGGGCGCAGGCCUGAACCAGCCAAGUAGCGUGAAGGAUGACUGCCCUAUGGGUUGUAAACUUCUUUUAUAAAGGAAUAAAGUCGGGUAUGUAUACCCGUUUGCAUGUACUUUAUGAAUAAGGAUCGGCUAACUCCGUGCCAGCAGCCGCGGUAAUACGGAGGAUCCGAGCGUUAUCCGGAUUUAUUGGGUUUAAAGGGAGCGUAGAUGGAUGUUUAAGUCAGUUGUGAAAGUUUGCGGCUCAACCGUAAAAUUGCAGUUGAUACUGGAUAUCUUGAGUGCAGUUGAGGCAGGCGGAAUUCGUGGUGUAGCGGUGAAAUGCUUAGAUAUCACGAAGAACUCCGAUUGCGAAGGCAGCCUGCUAAGCUGCAACUGACAUUGAGGCUCGAAAGUGUGGGUAUCAAACAGGAUUAGAUACCCUGGUAGUCCACACGGUAAACGAUGAAUACUCGCUGUUUGCGAUAUACAGCAAGCGGCCAAGCGAAAGCGUUAAGUAUUCCACCUGGGGAGUACGCCGGCAACGGUGAAACUCAAAGGAAUUGACGGGGGCCC